rnacentral:rRNA from 1 species
UGGGGAAUAUUGGACAAUGGACCGAGAGUCUGAUCCAGCAAUUCUGUGUGCACGAUGAAGUUUUUCGGAAUGUAAAGUGCUUUCAGUUGGGAAGAAAUAAAUGACGGUACCAACAGAAGAAGUGACGGCUAAAUACGUGCCAGCAGCCGCGGUAAUACGUAUGUCACGAGCGUUAUCCGGAUUUAUUGGGCGUAAAGCGCGUCUAGGUGGUUAUGUAAGUCUGAUGUGAAAAUGCAGGGCUCAACUCUGUAUUGCGUUGGAAACUGUGUAACUAGAGUACUGGAGAGGUAAGCGGAACUACAAGUGUAGAGGUGAAAUUCGUAGAUAUUUGUAGGAAUGCCGAUGGGGAAGCCAGCUUACUGGACAGAUACUGACGCUAAAGCGCGAAAGCGUGGGUAGCAAACAGGAUUAGAUACCCUGGUAGUCCACGCUGUAAACGAUGAUUACUAGGUGUUGGGAGUCGAACCUCAGCGCCCAAGCAAACGCGAUAAGUAAUCCGCCUGGGGAGUACGUACGCAAGUAUG